UACGUAGGGUGCGAGCGUUGUCCGGAAUUAUUGGGCGUAAAGAGCUUGUAGGCGGUUUGUCGCGUCUGCUGUGAAAUUUCGGGGCUCAACCCCGAACUUGCAGUGGGUACGGGCAGACUAGAGUGUGGUAGGGGAGACUGGAAUUCCUGGUGUAGCGGUGAAAUGCGCAGAUAUCAGGAGGAACACCGAUGGCGAAGGCAGGUCUCUGGGCCACUACUGACGCUGAGAAGCGAAAGCAUGGGGGAGCGAACAGG
rnacentral:rRNA from 1 species